CACCACUAGCCCGACCACACGGUA
rnacentral:miRNA from 1 species